UACAGAGGGUGCAAGCGUUGUUCGGAAUUAUUGGGCGUAAAGGGCGCGUAGGCGGUGCUGUAAGUCUGUAGUGAAAUCUCUGGGCUCAACUCAGAGUCUGCUAUAGAAACUGCAGUGCUGGAGUGUGGGAGAGGUGAGUGGAAUUCCCGGUGUAGCGGUGAAAUGCGUAGAGAUCCGGAGGAACCCCAGAGGCGAAGGCGGCCCCCUGGCUCGUACCUGACGCUCAGCCACGAAAGCAUGGGGAGCGAACGGG
rnacentral:rRNA from 1 species